UACGAAGGGGGCUAGCGUUGUUCGGAAUCACUGGGCGUAAAGCGCACGUAGGCGGAUCUUUAAGUCAGGGGUGAAAUCCCGAGGCUCAACCUCGGAACUGCCUUUGAUACUGGGGAUCUUGAGUCCGGGAGAGGUGAGUGGAACUGCGAGUGUAGAGGUGAAAUUCGUAGAUAUUCGCAAGAACACCAGUGGCGAAGGCGGCUCACUGGCCCGAUACUGACGCUGAGGCACGAAAGCGUGGGGAGCAAACAGG
rnacentral:rRNA from 1 species